rnacentral:rRNA from 1 species
GGAUUGCGNAAUGGGCGAAGCCUGACGCAGCCAUGCCGCGUGAGUGAUGAAGGCCUUCGGGUUGUAAAACUCUUUCGCGCACGACGAUAAUGACGGUAGUGCGAGAAGAAGCUCCGGCUAACUUCGCGCCAGCAGCCGCGGUAAUACGAAGGGGGCUAGCGUUGUUCGGAAUUACUGGGCGUAAAGCGCGCGCAGGCGGUCUUCCAAGUCAGUGGUGAAAGCCCGGAGCUCAACUCCGGAAUUGCCAUUGAAACUGUUGGACUGGAGUAUGAGAGAGGUGAGUGGAAUUCCCAGUGUAGAGGUGAAAUUCGUAGAUAUUGGGAAGAACACCGGUGGCGAAGGCGGCUCACUGGCUCAUUACUGACGCUCAUGCGCGACAGCGUGGGGAUCAAACAGGAUUAGAUACCCUGGUAGUCCACGCCGUAAACGAUGAAUGCUAGCCGUUGGGCAGCUUGCUGUUCAGUGGCGCAGCUAACGCAUUAAGCAUUCCGCCUGGGGAGUACGGCCGCAAGGUUGAAACUCAAAAAAAUUGACGGA